rnacentral:rRNA from 1 species
UACGUAGGGUGCAAGCGUUAAUCGGAAUUACUGGGCGUAAAGCGUGCGCAGGCGGUUAUGUAAGUCAGAUGUGAAAUGCCCGGGCUUAACCUGGGAACUGCAUUUGUGACUGCAUGGCUAGAGUUUGGCAGAGGGGGGUAGAAUUCCACGUGUAGCAGUGAAAUGCGUAGAUAUGCGGAGGAACACCGAUGGCGAAGGCAAUCCCCUGGACCUGUACUGACGCUCAUGCACGAAAGCGUGGGGAGCAAACAGG